GAUGAAGAACUUAGCGAAAUGCGAUAAGUAAUGUGAAUUGCAGAAUUCAGUGAAUCAUCGAAUCUUUGAACGCACCUUGCACCCUUUGGCAUUCUGAAGGGUAUGCUCGUUUGAGUGUCAUUGUACUCUCACACUCCCGAUCUUUGCAUUGGGAGCAGUGGACUUGGGUUUGCUGCUUCACCGUCGCUUACCUCAAAUAGGUUAGUGCAACUCUUGGUUGGACAUAGUACGGCGUGAUAAGUGUUCUUCGCCGGUGCCUCGCAAAGAGGGUGGCCGAUCGGGAUGUUGUGCUCCAAACCGUCUUCGGACAAUCUCUGACGACUUGACCUCAAAUCGAGUAAGACUACCCGCUGAACUUAAGCAUAUCAAUAAGCGGAGGA
rnacentral:misc_RNA from 1 species